CCUACGGGAGGCAGCAGUAGGGAAUCUUUCACAAUGGGCGAAAGCCUGAUGGAGCAACGCCGCGUGCAGGAUGAAGGCCUUCGGGUUGUAAACUGCUUUUAUAAGCGAGAAAUAUGAUGGUAACUUAUGAAUAAGGAUCGGCUAACUACGUGCCAGCAGCCGCGGUCAUACGUAGGAUCCGAGCAUUAUCCGGAGUGACUGGGUGUAAAGAGUUGCGUAGGUGGCAUAAUAGGUAGCUAGUGAAAUCUGGUGGCUCAACCAUUCAGACUAUUAGCUAAACUGUUAAGCUCGAGACCGUUAGGGGUAACUGGAAUUUGUAGUGUAGGAGUGAAAGCCGUAGAUAUUAGAAGGAACACCAAGAGCGUAGGCAGGGUACUGGGACGGUUCUGACACUAAGGCACGAAAGCGGAGGGAGGAAAAGGGAUUAGAUACCCCUGUAGUC
rnacentral:rRNA from 1 species